rnacentral:rRNA from 1 species
GAUGAACGCUAGCGGCAGGCUUAAUACAUGCAAGUCGAACGCACCGCAAGGUGAGUGGCAGACGGGUGAGUAACGCGUGGGAACGUGCCCUUCAGUUCGGAAUAACCCAGGGAAACUUGGGCUAAUACCGGAUACGUGCGAGAGCAGAAAGAUUUAUCGCUGAAGGAUCGGCCCGCGUCUGAUUAGCUAGUUGGUGGGUAAUGGCCCACCAAGGCGACGAUCAGUAGCUGGUCUGAGAGGAUGAUCAGCCACAUUGGGACUGAGACACGGCCCAAACUCCUACGGGAGGCAGCAGUGGGGAAUAUUGGACAAUGGGCGCAAGCCUGAUCCAGCCAUGCCGCGUGAGUGAUGAAGGCCUUAGGGUUGUAAAGCUCUUUCGGGCGGGGACGGAUAAUGACGGUACCCGCAGAAGAAGCCCCGGCUAACUUCGUGCCAGCAGCCG